UACGUUGGGGGCAAGCGUUGUCCGGAUUUAUUGGGCGUAAAGAGCGUGUAGGCGGCUUUACAGGUCCGUUGUGAAAACUCGAGGCUCAACCUCGAGACGCCGGUGGAAACCGUAAAGCUAGAGUCCGGAAGAGGAGAGUGGAAUUCCUGGUGUAGCGGUGAAAUGCGCAGAUAUCAGGAAGAACACCUAUGGCGAAGGCAGCUCUCUGGGACGGUACUGACGCUGAGACGCGAAAGCGUGGGGAGCGAACAGG
rnacentral:rRNA from 1 species